GGACUUUCUGUUCAUGUUCAUAGCCUGCCAUUGUUGGACUAGCUACUAGCUGAAUCACAGCGUGGUCCCUUGUGAAGGAGGGAAAUGGCGGUGCCAUGGAAUUAGGACCUGAGAUCAGCCAGAUUCACCUAACUAGACCAAGGGAUACUGUGUUUUCUUAUGUUUGUGGCUGAGAAGCCAAGAGAGAGAGCGGGCUCCAGCAUCUACUGUAUCUCUUCCUACACAGUGUAAACAGAGAAUGCCAGUUGGAAUCCUUUUGUUUCUUCUUCUUGCCAACUUUCUUCCUAGAACGUCCAACUCACUGUUGACUAGAAAUAUCUAUCGAAGGUGGUAUCCCCAUCUUACUGUUCAUCUGUGGGCUUUCACAGGUGUCCUCUAUCGGCAGGAGGUGUGUUCUCUUCUUGGUCCUCCCUCAACAACUGCUUUCCUUAUGAAGAGGCACUAGAUUUAUGUACCCCAUACUUUGUCUGUGUCUAUUGGGAUGGCCAUGUGUUUUUUAAACAUUUAUCUC